GCCGGCGAAGCCAGUUGGCAGAACAUCUUGGCUGUCAACAACAAACUAGUCAUCUAUUCGAAAGUUUGUUGUUGACAGCCAAGAUGUUCUGCCAACUGGCUUCGCCGGCA
rnacentral:miRNA from 1 species